GAUGAACGCUGGCGGCGUGCCUAAUACAUGCAAGUCGAGCGAACAGACGAGGAGCUUGCUCCUCUGACGUUAGCGGCGGACGGGUGAGUAACACGUCGAUAACCUACCUAUAAGACUGGGAUAACUUCGGGAAACCGGAGCUAAUACCGGAUAAUAUAUUGAACCGCAUGGUUCAAUAGUGAAAGACGGUUUUGCUGUCACUUAUAGAUGGAUCCGCGCCGCAUUAGUUAGUUGGUACGGUAACGGCUUACCAAGGCAACGAUGCGUAGCCGACCUGAGAGGGUGAUCGGCCACACUGGAACUGAGACACGGUCCAGACUCCUACGGGAGGCAGCAGUAGGGAAUCUUCCGCAAUGGGCGAAAGCCGGACGGAGCAACGCCGCGUGAGUGAUGAAGGUCUUCGGAGCGUAAAACUCUGUUAUUAGGGAAGAACAAAUGUGUAAGUAACUAGGCACGUCUUGACGGUACCUAAUCAGAAAGCCACGGCUAACUACGUG
rnacentral:rRNA from 1 species